GAAAUGCGAUAAGUAAUGUGAAUUGCAGAAUUCAGUGAAUCAUCGAAUCUUUGAACGCACAUUGCGCCCGCCAGUAUUCUGGCGGGCAUGCCUGUUCGAGCGUCAUUUCAACCAUCAAGCCCCCGGCUUGUGUUGGGGACCUGCGGCUGCCCGCAGGCCCUGACAAACAGUGGCGGGCUCGCUGUCACACCGAGCGUAGUAGCAUACAUUCUCGCUCAGGGCGUGCUGCGGGUUCCGGCCGUUAAACGACCUUCAUAACCCAAGGUUGACCUCGGAUCAGGUAGGAAGACCCGCUGAACUUAAGC
rnacentral:misc_RNA from 1 species